GAUGAACGCUAGCUACAGGCUUAACACAUGCAAGUCGCGGGGCAGCAUGGGGGUUGCUUGCAAUCCCCGAUGGCGACCGGCGCACGGGUGAGUAACGCGUAUCCAACCUGCCCUUCACCACGGGAUAACCCGGCGAAAGUCGGACUAAUACCGUAUGUUGUCCAUUGACGGCAUCCGAUUUGGACGAAAGGCUUGGCGGUGAGGGAUGGGGAUGCGUCCGAGUAGCACGACGGCGGGGUAACGGGCCACCGUGGCUACGAUCGGUAGGGGUUCUGAGAGGAAGGUCCCCCACACUGGAACUGAGACACGGUCCAGACUCCUACGGGAGGCAGCAGUGAGGAAUAUUGGUCAAUGGGCGUAAGCCUGAACCAGCCAAGUAGCGUGCAGGAUGACGGCCCUAUGGGUUGUAAACUGCUUUUAUGCGGGGAUAAAGUGGCCCACGUGUGGGCUUUUGCAGGUACCGCAUGAAUAAGGACCGGCUAAUUCCGUG
rnacentral:rRNA from 1 species